GCUAUUUUCUUCCUUCUUCUUUCUUUGGUUUGAUAAUCCGCUGCGGUGCUCAAGUGUUUUACCCUAUUGAUACCAAGGGUAAUCUUUUGCCCUUCAUAGCGGAGCGAAGAGGUGAUCCUUGAGUCCGGUGUUGAGGGAGCGAGAGAGUGCUUAUCCAUUUAUUCUCUCUUUGCUUGUCCGACGUUGGUGGUGGUGCCGGUGUGAGUGGGUUCCGGUAC
rnacentral:lncRNA from 1 species